AGCGAACGCUGGCGGCAGGCCUAACACAUGCAAGUCGAACGAACCUUUCGGGGUUAGUGGCGGACGGGUGAGUAACACGUGGGAACGUGCCUUUAGGUUCGGAAUAACUCAGGGAAACUUGUGCUAAUACCGAAUGUGCCCUUCGGGGGAAAGAUUUAUCGCCUUUAGAGCGGCCCGCGUCUGAUUAGCUAGUUGGUUGGGUAAUGGCUCACCAAGGCGACGAUCAGUAGCUGGUCUGAGAGGAUGAUCAGCACAUUGGGACUGAGACACGGCCCAAACUCCUACGGGAGGCAGCAGUGGGGAAUCUUGCGCAAUGGGCGAAAGCCUGACGCAGCCAUGCCGCGUGAAUGAUGAAGGUCUUAGGAUUGUAAAAUUCUUUCACCGGGGACGAUAAUGACGGUACCCGGAGAAGAAGCCCCGGCUAACUUCGUG
rnacentral:rRNA from 1 species